GACGAACGCUGGCGGCGUGCUUAACACAUGCAAGUCGAGCGGUAAGGCCCUUUCGGGGGUACACGAGCGGCGAACGGGUGAGUAACACGUGGGUGACCUGCCCUCAGCUCUGGGAUAAGCCUGGGGAACCGGGUCUAAUACCGGAUAUGACUCCAUGACGCAUGUUGUGGGGUGGAAAGCCUUGUGCGGCUGAGGAUGGGCCCGCGGCCUAUCAGCUUGUUGGUGGGGUGAUGGCCUACCAAGGCGACGACGGGUAGCCGGCCUGAGAGGGCGACCGGCCACACUGGGACUGAGACACGGCCCAGACUCCUACGGGAGGCAGCAGUGGGGAAUCUUGCGCAAUGGGCGAAAGCCUGACGCAAGCGACGCCGCGUGAGGGAUGACGGCCUGGUGUAAC
rnacentral:rRNA from 1 species